rnacentral:rRNA from 1 species
UAGACGACCUGCUUCUGGAUGAGGGUUUCAUAUGUACCAGAGCAGCUCCCUUGCUGUGAUCUAUUGAAAUUUAGCCCUAGACACA